CACGUAGGGGGCAAGCGUUGCUCGGAAUUACUGGGCGUAAAGGGCGCGUAGGCGGGAUGGCAAGUCGGUCGUGAAAUCCCUCGGCUCAACUGAGGAUCGUCGAUCGAUACUGCCGUUCUUGAGGAUUGCAGAGGAGACUGGAAUUCCCGGUGUAGCGGUGAAAUGUGUAGAGAUCGGGAGGAACACCGGUGGCGAAGGCGGGUCUCUGGGCAAUUCCUGACGCUGAGGCGCGAAAGCGUGGGGAGCAAACGGG
rnacentral:rRNA from 1 species